AAUAUUCGGGUAAAAUUAAUUAGGUCAAAGUCUGCCCUGGUGGCCGAGACGGUGGUUGCUAAGGGUUGGCUCGUGGGACCGAGCUUGUUUUGUCUGUACUGAGGAUACAGACCAGUGUGCAGAUCUGAGCGCAGUCCAAAGGGAGUGGACAAGGAAAUAAAAGACGGCUUCUGUAAGACAGAGCGCGUUUGCAGGGGGAAGUGGUUUCGAGAUACGAGGGACCCGGGUCUUAGAGGGGCCUGACGGUGAAGGACCACUUCCGAGAACCCUGUCGCUGAUCUGAGCGGUUCCCUUUCUACGGAGACGUCCGUGGAAGAGAAAUUUCGAAAAAAGGUUCCGGCCGGAACACAAAAAAAUCUAAGGCAGAAAACCGCCGGGACUCUGAAAGAUGGGUUCGGGGCGAUCUAAGUCUCCACCACCAGACUGCAGCAUUACAAAAUUAAAAGUAAUUAUAAAAGUAAAAAGUAAAUAUGGUUAUUAGUGCGUUUCAUGUUUCCAUGAGUGGGAAACUGGUUAUGGGUUCAAAAGGAGAAUCGCUUUGUGUAAGGACAUACGCACCUUAAAAGAAAAAUUAGAGACAAAAGAAAAUACUUGAAAAAGGAAAACUAUCAAAACUAAAGCCCUAAAAGAAACAAAAGAUGAAAGUAACGGAAAAAAAAGGAGAUAACAACUCUGGGGAAGAAUUGUUUGCACUCUGCCACACCACACGCACACCACACACACAUCAUGUCAAGAUCAAAUGCUCCCACUGUUUCUGCUCUCUAUUCUAAUGCAGAACUGAGCGCGAUGAGGGUAAAUCCGGAUCUGGACUCCUUUCCCACCAUCAGCAGAAGAACCGAAGGAGAAGAAGCGCCGACCAACAACCAGAACAGGGUGGAAGCUCCACAGCAGCUGGAGGACACAGACCACAGCAUGGACGCCUCACAGACUCCCACAACGUCUGCAGCCAUUACGUUCUGGGCUCAUCAGAUGAACCAGCUACUACAAGCCCUGCACCAGCAUGAAAGGACUGUGUCUGAAGCUUCUGAAGCCGUGAAAGUGUCAUACACGCGUGUGUGUCUGACAGACACCUGCUUAUGACAAUCAGCAAAGGAAAACAAGGACAGAGCAACAGCAGAGUGAGAAAACGUGCUCUGACACAGACACUGGUUGAAACAACAGGAGAGGCUUCAGACGUGAUCGGCCCAAAAGAGCUGCAUCUGAGGAUCCAGGAAAGGUCUGUCAUCGAGGAACAACUGUCCCAUUGAAAGGCUUCACCCGCUGGCGCUCACAUCAGACUGAUGGUUGGGGAAGGAGGAAGGUGACGGUUCCUUUUCACGUGACGUACAAGACGGUACCGCAAACACACACACACAUUCAUACACGCAAUGAAGAAACACGCUUACAGCUGAUACACGCUCAAAUUCAUGUUCAUGCUUAUCUGCUCGCAAUGAAGAAUCGCUUUUUGCUCAAAAAAUCCCACAGAGUGAUUUUAAAAUGAUGACAAACAGCUAAAUGACAACUGCUGCAUGACUUUACAGUCUGAUGGGUUCAAACUAUUUUAACUUGCAACAACUUCAGUAAUAAAAUCCUUCAUGUUUCUAAAAAUACUUGUGCACAAUAUAGGUUUGUCUGGCCAGACUAGAAGACUAUAGGAAACAAAACAGACUAUAGAAAAACAAAACAGACUAUAGGAAAACAAAACAGACUGUAGAAAAAACAAAACCAGACCAUAGGAAGACUGAAACCGACUGAAACAGACUAUUAAUGACUAUUAAAGGGAAGACGACUAUUAGAGAGAAGUAAUAAUAAUUACUGUACGUACCAGACUAUUAAAGAAAAACUUAUUCUUUCACUGUCUUGUGCAACAUCUGACAGCAAGACACCUUAACAUUCAUUUUUGCUUUCAAACUUAUGCCCAGUUAAAUUUUUAGGAAGAGAUCUCAUGUAGUUUAGGUAUUUAAUUGAUUUCCACUCCAGACGGAGUGCAGGUUACAUCUACAGACAUUCUAAAUAAUCCCUCUUUUGUUGGUGUUAACUUCAGCUCAGCUGUGCUCUUAUCAUUGGCUGCUGAGGGGGGGCUGUAACUGAGGCCCUCACACAGGCUGCAUCACAGCUUGUUUAUGAUUUCACACACACACACUGACAAACUGGCCUCAACUUCCCUCUUUUGGGAUGAACACAGGUCUGCGCUUGCGAUUUCUUUUACUAACGAACAAAAAGAUUUUUGAUGUUUAUUCUACAGCUCCACACGUCCCUCUGUGAAAACAUGAUGGAGACAGAUGCAGGACGUGGGUCCUUUCGUGAACAGAUGUGAACGGGGUGGAGACUGGUGAACGACUUCUGACCCCAUAGGACGCUCUGACCCAACACUCAGCCUUACAGGAAGCCCUGCUUCCCUGUGGCUCACACACAGACAUGAUGUAGGUUUGAUCAGAGGAUGUGAACCAGUGGUCAUCGCACCUAAAUCUGACCACAGACCAUGUAAACAACAUCACCCUCUGGAAGAAGCCAUAGAUGGUGUUACUGCAGACACCACUAAGCUACUGAAACAUUGGAUGCUACAGGCCACAAAGAGAGCCUGUCUAAAUUACAGUUAGUUCAGACAAAGGUUAUUUUCUGGGUCAUUGUAAUUACAGCUGAUGGCAAAUCCAUCUCACCCAACUGAGUUAGAGCAAUUUGAAACCUGCCUAAACCGUGCACGUAAAAACAGCUGAUGUCUUUUCUAGGUCUUUGUUCUUAUUGUAGGACCUUCAGUCCUAACUUUACUGUCUUUGAGGCCUCACUCAGGGUUCUGAUGCAGACGUCUUCAUCGUCCACUUCUUGUCUCACGUGGACGUCUGAGGCUGAACAACGUUCACUGACCUCAUGCUUGCUCUUCAGUCGACUCCUACUUUGGGUCUUCCUGAUCUGACCCUACGCGACCUUUCACUCAAACAGUGGAUGAGAAAUCAGGUUGUACGACUUCUGUUCUUUUGUCCUCAUACUUUGAUUCUUUUGGAAUAGAUCACAUCUUUCUACAGCCCGAUGGCUUAGAUGCAACACCACUUUGCUCAACAUGCUGAACGUUACUAUCAAGAGGCCGUCUUGAAGUCUGGCUCUUUGCUAAGACACUACUCUGCUCAGGCUGCAGAGUUGAUCACAUUGACUGAAGCUAGUAAACGAGCAGAAGGAGAGUCUGUUACCAUCUACACGGACUCCACAGAUGCUCUGUGGAAGCAUAGGAAGCUUUUGAAGUCUGAUUGCAAACCUAUCUCACAUCAUGAUUAGGUUCUGCUUUGCUGGACGCUGUCCUGCCACCUACAGCUAAUGCUGUUUGUAACUGUCCAACAUCAGUGACGACUUUGUUUGUGCCGACAUGCAGCUGCAGACGCUGCUGCGAAGGUCGCUGCCCAACAACCCCUCCCUCUCCUGAUCCUCGUUUCCUCUCCUGAUCCUUGUUCCCUCUCCAACUCUCUCUAUCCUUUCCUUCCUCUCUCUCCCUGUGCUUUAAACGUUUUCUACCUCACAGGAACGCUGACUCUGGCUGACGAAUGGUUUCACCUGUAGCCACUGAGUCUGGUUUGGGCCUGAUGGCAGCCGUGCCGCCCAAACACCUUUUCCCCACAAUUCAGAUUUCCAACAGGUGAAAACAGGCGACAGGACCACUACACCAUCCAACCAGGGGACUGGCGAUCGUUAAGGAGUUCAGGAGGAAGCAUUGGGACUCAAAACGGUGGCGAGGUCCCUUCCAGGUCCUUCUGACGACCCACACGGCUGUAAAGAUCGCAGAGAGAGCGACUUGGACCAACUCCAUCCAGGAAGGUCCCGGAUCCGACAGACGACCCUCCAUCUACACCACACGAGAAAACCACCACUGACGAAAAGAACUAAGAAGGACGACCCUCGCUGUGCUCACACACGCACUGAGGCGAGGCUGCAUUGACCGUUCAGCUAAAGGUGUGAGCCAAGCGCCGCCUGAAGCUGCGCCGGUGAAUCACACUAUCAGACCAUACAUCUACACACACGCUCCUGAGAAAACACACACACGAGCAGCCUUGAGUUGCCGAAGCUGGACGACGUGUAGACUUUUCACAUCACGGGAGUGACAGUGACUCAGACGACAUUGGGAGGAAACCUGGCGGUGAUAACGAACCCCAAAUGUCUCUGUGAUCAGCUGAUCACAACCUGAAGAACCCCAACAAACUGUCAAUACUUCAACACACAGGUUGGAAACAAUCUAACGCUACUGUUCAAUAAGAAGAAGCAGAUUGUUACAGACAUCAAUUGUAACCUUGUUGUGUUAGACAUUUUAUGUUACUCUGAUUAUUGCCUUGAUCAUAUGAUGUUUCUAUGUAACUUUACACACUACUUUUGAAUGAGAAAAUUUCACAACAACAACAACAACGACACUGAGUUUAAAUAUCCUGAAGUUGACUUGGUGUUUAAUUUGCUCACAAUCACUUUAUUCACUGCUACAAUUAGUUUUAUCCUUCAUUUACAGAUGAAAGACAACACAAGCGGCAAUAUGCAUCAUCAUUCUGGUUAAAUCCCCGAAUCUCCUAUUCGCUCUAGACGCAAAUGUACAAUUAAAGAUCCGAAAGCAUUAAAUCUAUCUUAAGAAUAUAUGAAACAGAACCCCACCGGAAACCUAUGGCUAUCAUAAAUUAAUUGUCUUUAUUACAUUACAAUCGAAUGGCCGUAGACAUGUUGUUAGCAGAGAAAAGAGGCCUUUGUGUUAUGUUUGGAGAGGCAUGUUGUACUUACAUCCUGAAUAACACUGAUUCUAAUGGUA